GCUAAUGUACAACUAGCAUCCGCCGGGGAACUACGAGCACCAGCUUAAAACCCAAAGGACUUGGCGGUGCCUCAGACCCCCCUAGAGGAGCCUGUUCUAGAACCGAUAACCCCCGUUCAACCUCACCACUCCUUGCCCUUUCCGCCUAUAUACCACCGUCGCCAGCUUACCCUGUGAAGGAAAAGUAAGCGAAAUGGAGACUCUCCAAAACGUCAGGUCGAGGUGUAGCACACGGAGUGGGAAGAAAUGGGCUACAUUGCCUGAUUUAGGCUACUAACGGAAAGUCGCCUGAAAAGACUAUUUGAAGGUGGAUUUAGCAGUAAGAGGGGAAUAGAGUGCCCCUUUGAAGCCGGCUCUGAGGCGCGCACACACCGCCC
rnacentral:rRNA from 1 species